rnacentral:rRNA from 1 species
UACGUAGGGUGCAAGCGUUGUCCGGAAUUAUUGGGCGUAAAGAGCUCGUAGGCGGUCUGUCGCGUCGGCUGUGAAAUCCCGAGGCUCAACCUCGGGUCUGCAGUCGAUACGGGCAAACUGGAGUGUUGCAGGGGAGGACUGGAAUUCCUGGUGUAGCGGUGAAAUGCGCAGAUAUCAGGAGGAACACCGGUGGCGAAGGCGGGUCCUCUGGGCAACAACUGACGCUGAGGAGCGAAAGCGUGGGGAGCGAACAGG